UUUCUCCUGAGGUGGAGGCGCGAGGGCCGUGAGGUGGCGGUGGCGGCGGAGCCGCGCCGCGGGUCCGGGCCCGGGCCCGAGUAAAUCCCAUAAAAAAUCCCAUAACGGAGAGAGAUAAAGGCAGCGGGGCUGCCUGGGCGGUUCAGGGAACCGUCUGCCUGCCUAGAAUGCACAGCUUGGCCCAACGUGGUGACUCAGAAUGGCGGCUGUGGGAGGAGAGGUCAAUGAGAGGUGUGAAGUCGGUCAGCCCGGCGAAGUCCAACGCGAGGGCUGAAUCACAGAGGUGAGGGGCGCAGCGCAGAGCUGUGGGUGCCAUGUGGGGCCCUAACCUGGAGGCAGAGCCUGCAGGCAUGCGGGGGCAGGAGGGCACAGAACAGCACAAUCCACAGGGAUCAGUUACACCACAGAAGCUGUCAGUGACUGAGUUUCAGAUGAAAUCAAAGUUGGGUGUUGAAAAACGGUCAUAUGGCUGAAAAAUAAAGUUCCCUGUGCCCAUAAUGGACGCUGUGGUGGACCUGGUGAACGUGGCAGCCAGAGGAGAAACAAACAGUGAAUGCCCUUGAAAAGACACCAGAAAUAACAUUUUAUAAACAGAAAUAGACAAUGUCUAUAUGACCUAAAAAAGGUGAUAGAAGGGGAAAAGAAGAAACUGGACAUGACGCCAAGCUGCUGCAGCGGGCCUGCUCCUUGGUGCCUACAGCUUGGGCCGCUUUGCUUUUGUUCUUAAGUAAGCAUAGCGACACGGACAAAUAAAGAGAUGAGCUCUGCUCCAACUGCUUACAGCGUGCUCUCUGGGGCCACAACAGCAAUUGGUGGAAUUACGGCAGAAUAAUCUGUCUUCCAUUUGACAACGGAAGGAAUAUAACAAUUGAAAAGAUCCUCCGACAGCCAAAUCCGCACACUUUUGGUCUGCCAGCUUCACCUGGGUAGAACAUUUGUAAGGAAAAGGUGUAAGGGGAACAUCUGGCUACGACACUGCUGCAACUUUAAGUUUUGCUCUGAAUGACAUUGCAUUGGGUAGUUCGUCGGAGUUGGACAGCCAGAAGUCCAAGGUAGGUUUCAAAAUGGAAGUGGUGCUCCCAGCAGGUGGCACUCGGGAACACGUGUCUGGGUUUGCGGCGUGCUUGGGAAUGGGUGUCAGUCUCUGUAUCGUUCUGUUUGCAGAAACCUCUCUGUCCUUUGUAUGGCUGUAAAUUGAUAGCUUUGUUUUUUUUUGGUAUCAAGUAUUCCUUUAAUCCCACAUUCAAACAGUUUUUUUUUAUCAUAUUCUUGUUCUAACAUUGGAUUAAUGUCUUUACAUGGGGAGCACGAUACUGUGGAUAUAAUAUGUGGUAAAGCAAAAUACCCAGCAGGAUGGAAAAUGUGGCUCAGGAGUUACAGCCCUCAGUUGUGACGUGAAGAAUGAAAGGAGACUGAUAUCUUAAAGCUUGCUGAGUCCUUUUUUAUUAGUCAAGAAAUCUGGAAAAAUAGGUUAGAAUAGCAAAAAUGUUUUAUCUAUGAAUUACUCAAAAAUACAGAAAAGUGCAUCUGAUUGAAUGCGUGCACAAGAUUUGAUUGAUGAAUUGAUGAUAGAGUUUGAUGAUAGAAGAAUUGAUGAUAGAGUUAAAGAACAUCAUGAAAAUAAUGCAGGUAAUACCAGCAGACUGGAAUAGAAGGUGUAUUGCGUGGCUGCUAGGAAUGAAAACGUGUGUUCUGCUUGAUAUAAAAGAAUCUUAGCAAAAAGCCAAUCUAUUUGUUUUUUACUUCAUACAAAAGAAUGAACUUAUUUGUAAUUCUGCUUUGAAAGAAACUUGGAAAGCGUGGAUCCUUUGCGAUCUCAGAUUGUGCCUUAUAUCUUCUCUUCAACUUCCUUCACAUGGGAUGCAACAACUUUUCCAUCUACCACUUCCUCGACGAUUGUCUUGAUCUUUCUAGUUUUGGUUGGAUCUAAGCAUCGCAAAGAGAACAAAGGAAAUAUUUCUCCGUUGUUACAAUACCGUACACGAACAGUCGCGUCCUUUUUCCUUUGAAAUUAGUUACUUGUUAUGAAGAACUCCGCAAUGUAAUUAAGCAGAAUAGCAUGUGUUAUUAUACUUAAAAAUAAAUAUAAUGUAUACUUUGGGAAUAAUAUAAUCAGAACA